rnacentral:misc_RNA from 1 species
AAGUCGUAACAAGGUUUCCGUAGGUGAACCUGCGGAAGGAUCAUUACCGAGUAUCACUAUACUUGCGUAUGUGCACUGUUGGAUGAUUUGGUGACUGGGCCGUCCACUUUUUGGGGGCGGCUCGGUCGCCACGUUACUACGUAUCAUUUUUCUGACUUUAAUAUCAAAAUUAAAGACAACUUUUAGCAACGGAUCUCUAGGCUCUC